CUGAAAUCCCAUGCUUCUGGAGCUACAUGUGGAAUUGGUAGUCUUGGUACCAGAAACUUUAUGAAACUGCAAGUUUAGAUGGUUAUCCCUGGUGACAGGAGACUUCCAGAGAGUUCACAGGCUUGUCCAUGAUGUCCACAAGAAAGGUAACAUAUUGCAUUCAUGAUAUAGCCAUGAAAAAGGCGUAGUAGAAAUAUGUUGGCUCAUGAGAUAAUAGUUGAUUGGGGUUGAUAUUGACAUUAUUAGACAAUAAUUGACAUUGUUAUGAGGCUGAAAGCCAAAGAAAUCCAUAGUCAUUUUGUCCUGUGGUCAAGAAAUAUUCAUCCCUUUUCUACUUGUGAAUUCCACUCCCAUGGCUCACAUUUCAAAAUAUAAUAAGGCACCAAAAAUAUUAACAUUUAAAGACAAGGAAGAAUUAUACAUAAAAAGAUCUUGGAAAAACUUUC
rnacentral:lncRNA from 1 species